rnacentral:rRNA from 1 species
AGAGAGAGACAUGCGCGCAUAUCAAUAAGCGGAGGAAAAGAAACUAGCAAGGAUUCCCCUAGUAACGGCGAGUGAAGCGGGAAGAGCUCAAAUUUGAAAUCUUAAAGGGUUUCCCUUUACGAAUUGUAGUUUAAAGAAGUGUUUUCUGUUGAGGUUUUGGUAAAAGUUCUUUGGGAUAGGACAUCAUAGAGGGUGAGAAUCCCGUAUUUGACCUUUACUUUCAACUUUGUGAUACACUUUCAAAGAGUCGGAUUGUUUGGGAAUGCAGUCCAAAAUGGGUGGUAAAUUUCAUCUAAAGCUAAAUAUUGGCGAGAGACCGAUAGCGAACAAGUACCGUGAGGGAAAGAUGAAAAGAACUUUGAAAAGAGAGUUAAACAGUACGUGAAAUUGUCAAAAGGGAAGCGUUUGACACCAGUGUUGUUUUUCUGAAAAUCAAUUAAAGAACUGUUUAUGCUAAGUUGUUUAGACUUUAUCAGCUAACUGUUUAGUUUUGAGCUUUUCUUUAAUGCACUUUUCAGUUAACAAGUCAACAUCAAUUUCUUUUGCUGUAAAAAAGCUUGAGGAAGGUGGCUUGAGAUUCGUCUUAAGUGUUUAUAGCCUCUUGCCUAUGCAGUCGGAGAGAUUGAGGUCUGCAGCGUAGAUCCUUCGGGGCUAAAUGCAUUUGUGCUAAGUUAUAGCAUUUUAUAGACAACUUGUUGACUAUGAUUUGUCUUGUAGCUUACUCGCUUAUGUUAUUUUACCUACGCUUAGGAUGUUGAGCGCAUGUCUCUCUCU